rnacentral:rRNA from 1 species
GCCGCCGCCGCCACCGCCGCCGCCGAUGCGAGAUCUCCCGCUCCUCUACGCCACACAACAAAAAAACACUAUCCGCCGCCCUCGGCUCGGACGAGACGACCCGCUGAACUUAAGCAUAUCGCUAAGCGGAGGAAAAGAAACCAACCGGGAUUCCCUUAGUAACGGCGAGUGAACCGGGAGAAGCCCAACGCCGAAUCCCGUCGCAAGUAAAAGGCUUCGGGACGUGUGGCGCAUGGGUCGAAGACAGCCGUUCGUUUUCGUCUCGCGUAGUUCGGAGUUCCCUCGAUCGGGGCCGCCCGCGGCGGGUGCCAGGCCCAUUCGGUGCGGACGGCGAGCGACGGUCUUCGAUCCGAGAGUCGGGUUGCUUGGGAACGCAGCCCAAAUCGGGUGGUAAGCUCCAUCCAAGGCUAAAUACCGGGACGAGUCCGAUAGUCGACAAGUACCGUGAGGGAAAGUUGAAAAGAACUUUGGAGAGAGAGUUCAAGAGAACGUGAAACCGCCCAGGGGUAAACGGGUGGGACCGCUCACCGCGAUCGCGGGGGGACUCAGUCCGGUGCUGCCUAGGCUCGAGCCCAAACUCGAUGUGUACCUCAACAGGCUGUCGCGGACGUCGUCGUCGUGUCCGCGGGGACUCGUUCUCCGCGGGCCAGCUUUUGUGCCCGCGUCGCCGACGAAGGAGACGGGCCGCGUAGACAGCGGGAAGGGAAACGUGGUGACGACCGCGGCGACGGCGGCUGCGACGGGAGACGCGUGGGGUUCGCUCCGCGCCCUUUCGCUCGCUGCCGCCGGCCUGCCGCAUCCGUCGCCGCCGCUUCUUCUUUCCUCCCGCUCCCUGUGCGCGCGGCCCCGCUGCACCCGUCGCCUUCUCACCGCUCGGCACCAAUGUCGCGGGCGCUUCGGCGCGACUUCCGCACGGCCGGCACCGGACGCACUUCCCCUCCGGUCCGUCGUCGCGACCCGUUCCCGGCGUGCAGGUCGACGCGCGGGUUUUUCCGUAGGCGGCAGGCGCUUUUGAAAACCCCCCCGCGACUCCGGUCGCGGGGGGGCCACCGGCCGUCGGGCCCGCGAACCGUAACUGCCCCCUUCUGCCGGGGACGGAGGAAAUCUUACGCGAUCCGUUAUACGUGGCGAGCCGGUUCGUCUCUAAUCCCGUCGGACGUCUCGCGCGGGCGACCUCGUGUCGCUCCCUCGGCGCCCCACCGUCUCGGGCGUGCGCGAGAGAAGAGUCGGGAGAGAACUGGCGCGGCCUCGCCGUCACGCACCUCGCCGAUGUUCGGGAAUCAGCGGUGUCGGGGGUGACCCCGCCCGCGCCCGUUCCGUCCGGUGAGGUCGCUCGGCGACGCCCCUUUCGGCCGCCCGCCACCUCGGGUCAGCGACGUGCAUCGGCAACCCACCCGACCCGUCUUGAAACACGGACCGAGGAGUCCUGGCCGUUCGCGAGUCGUAGGGGCCCCCUCUGACUAACCCCGAAGGCGUAGCGAAAGCGAGAGAGCGUGUCGGAGGGCGUCGACCGGGAGAGGUGUCGUGGCGAAGUCGUCGGGGGGCGAGUGCUCGGUUUCGGCCGUCUCUCGUUCCCCCGCCUCCGAGCCGUGCCCGAUCCCGCCGGCGCGGUGUCUCGUCCUCCGCGCGCCGUCGCCGCAGGCCCGCACUUCUCUUCUCACAAGGAGGAGAGGGAAGGCCGGCGGCUGGCGUGCGGUCGUUUCCCUCCUGCCCGAGACGGGCACCGGUCUUAGGGAAUUGCGGGGCAUCAGCUUCCAUCCUCCUUCCGCCCAUCGGUGAGAUCCCGCGGCUUGAACUAGUCCUAUUUUGUCGUCGAGUUUAGGCACUGCGCGCGGGCGCAUCACCCCCGGGUCGGUUCCUUCUCCGAGUACGACUCGGCCGACUCUGGCGUAGCGAGCGACCAGGGACCCGAAAGAUGGCGAUCCACGCCCGGUCGGGAUGAAGCCAGAGGAAACUCUGGUGGAAGUCCGAAGCGCCUCUGACGUGCAAAUCGAUCGUCGGAACCGGGUGUAGGGGCGAAAGACCAAUCGAGCCGUCUAGUAGCUGGUUCCCUCCGAAGUUUCCCUCAGGAUAGCUGGCGCUCGAUCGUCGCAAUUCCAUCCGGUAAAGCGAACGAUUGGAGGCCCCGGGGCCGUUCACGGCCUCGACCUACUCUCGAACUCGGAACGGGUGGAACGGGUCGACUCUCCCGAACAACGGAGCCGUCCCCUAUUUUCGCGUCGCCGCUCGCCGGCGGCGUCGAAAUCGAAUGCGAGUGCCAAGUGGGCCACUUUUGGUAAGCAGAACUGGCGCUGUGGGAUGAACCAAACGUCCGGCUAAGGUGCCUAACGCGACGCCCAUGAGAUCCCCGAAAGGGUGUCGGUCGAUAUAGACAGCAGGACGGUGGCCACGGAAGUCGGAAUCCGCUAAGGAGUGUGUAACAACUCACCUGCCGAAUCGACCGGCCCCGAAAAUGGAUGGCGCUGGAGCGACGGACCGAUGCCGGACCGUCGCGGCGAGG